UGGCUUAAUCUUUGAGACAAGCAUAUGACUACUGGCAGGAUCAACCAGGUAGCAUUCCUCUUCGACGUAGCCCACCAUGCAAGGACAAGCCGAAACACGGCAGGCAAUCGUUUUGGAGAAGCGAGAACGCUUAAGAAGGGCAAAAUAUGGAUCUUAUAAAGAUCCAAGCCCACAUCAGGUUCCGUAUACAAGAGACCAAACGAUGCUUCAUAGGCCACCUCAUUGUCGCAAACGCAACAACACGGUGGAUCACAAAGACCGCUUCAUUGUGCAUCCCACGCCGCAUAAACGACGCAUGACGAAAAGGAAAAUCGCAAAACCCACACGUUACCAUCAAUUAGGUAUGCAACACAGGAAACCCACAAUUUGCUCAAGACAAAUCGAGUCUUGCCGCAAAACUGAAGAGGUAUGCAGCGUGGACGUUGGUGCGCAAGCAAACAGCCAUCCACACGUAACAAACCAAUCACCACUCAUGCACCUCCCCGGUCGACAUUCCCGAAAGCCGCCCAACUAGUAGCCACCCACCCAACCAAACGGCCAAGCAAGCAACCAAAAGCCAAAACCAGCCCCCAGAAAGCACC
rnacentral:misc_RNA from 1 species